UUGCCGGAAAUUGCCUUAAAUUUAGAUAAAAUUGGUGUGUUUUAAAGAGAUUAUGAAAUAAUAUAGUUAUUUUUUAUGUUCCUUUUUAAAAAAACGUGUUUUAAAAAAAUGCCCCUGCGACACUGGAUUUAACGUGGCACAGAGGACAUUUAUUACCCUGUUUUCUUUUAUUUCGUUCGCUUUUAUAAACUACUAACUAAAAAUUAAUCGCGAAUUGCACUCUGUUUAGUAAAUGUAGUUUUGCUUUACUACCAGGCAGCAAGUUCGCAAUGUACAAAGUAGCUAAUUAAGUUAAAAUAAUUUUUUAGGUUUCGGAGUUUUCGCAGAAAAGAAUUUUACGAAGGGGGAGUUCUUAUUGGAGUAUCCUGGGGAACUUAUUAGCGCCGAGGAAGAAGAAAAAAAGCAGCAACGCUAUAACGCUAAAUUUGGUUCAUUCUUGUUUUUUUUCAACAAAUGUUGAAUAAAAACACCAAGAUGCCUAUUACGAUUGCACCAAAAGUCUCUACGGUAAGUUAAAAUGCUUUAGUCUUGUCCUGUAUGUUUUUUACCCUGUAAAAAAAGUCAUGACAAUACGCCCAUAGUACAUGUAGUAAGUAAGUGCGUUAUUUAGCGCGACCCUGGCCACACAAUGUAAUAUAUACUUCCUCAAUUGAAUAAAGUUUUCUAAAAGUGUUUCUUUCACAAUUAUCAUUAAUGUCCGAAACUAUGAAAAUUUUACUUUCUUUUUACUUCAAAGAAGUGCUUCUUGCGUACACUUACAUCUGCAACAGUCAAGGGAAGAUUUUUUUUUUAAACAAACAAAACAAGUUUAUAAAGAAAAUUAAAAUAUUGCGUACUUCUUUUUCUAAUUUUUCAAUGGUUGUACGUUCUCUAUUGUUGUUUGUUGUGUAAUAAAAGGGUUGGUGUGAUGAUUUUCACAGUAGUAAAAUAUUGUGUGAGGUCUGGAAAGUGUAGAAACAAAAACAUGGCUGUCAAAUGACAAGACUAUAAAUGUGCCAUUAUUAGACUCCAUCGCAUAUGCUUGUUUUGACGUUCAAAGUACCUGAAACGCAAAAUGUCUUAAAGAAAACAAAAAUUUAAAACAGGCUGUAUAGUUUUAUAGUUUCAUACUCCUACCGGUCUGACAGAAAUUUGUUCCCUUUCUUGGCCAAAGUUUCACAGUUUUCGCAGCCAAUUUACAAACAUCUUGAAAGGUGUUAUGUCUACUUACUAAAACAUUGGCAACUUUUAAAACUAUAUUGUACAAUAUUAUUUUCAUUGUCACACACUAUAUUGAGAUUGAUUACUUUAUAAGUAAAAAAUAGGGAGGGUUGAGUCGGGAGCGUGGUCCAGAGAAACGAAGGGAAAAUAAAAAACAAGUCUUUUACGAAAAGUCCUUUUAUGUAAAGGACUUUUCGUAGGACUUUUAUGGCAGAAAUUCUUUUUGGGCUGACUUCUUAUAAUUCGAAUUUAAUUUAUUUGGAACAUUCCGUUAUCGAAUUCACGAAGUUGUAAAAUAUACUUUACUGAGCGCUUAAAAUUUUGAUUUAAAUUUUAAAGAGGGCGUUUAAAGGCAGAUUUUCUUUGCGCCUCGGUUCGACUUUGAGUUCGCACCGUCUUGUUAAUGUAACCCUCUUGAUUUCAAUAGCUGUGUGUUGGCCCUGAAUUCAAAUGAAUAAAGAGUCUAAUGUAUAGUGGUUGAGCCAAGAACUUUUAACCUGUAUAAACGUUUAUUUUGUAGAAGAUAAAUUAUGAGGUUCGUCACUUUUAAUGAAAACUGUACUUGCGCCCGUUUUAUCAUUUUCAAUGUCGUUAAAGUAGCUCAUUGAAAAAUCAGCACCAAAUGAUACUGUAUUUGACCCUUUAGAAGCGACAAAAAUUAUUAUAAACUUUUAUAUUUUAAAGACUUUCUAGGUUGGUUCUUAUAAUCAUGAUUUAUGCUCAUCGUUUUAGCAGGUUAUUUAUAUAUAUAUGUUUGCUUUGUGAACUUAAAAAUUUCUCUAUCAAGUUUUUAGAAAUUCAAGUAUCACAUUCUCCCAGUGACUAAAAAGCUUCAGGAAAUGUCUAUUAAUUUUAGGCUUUGUUUUCUGAUAUAAAUUUUAUAGUGUUGACCGGUAGUUAUUUUGAAAGUUUAGAUAGUUUAAGUUUAUUAAACGCACAGAACAUUUGCAUCUCACUAGUUAUAUUAAAAGGACGUUUGUUCCCAAAAAGUUAAAUUAAAUAGUUGUUCGAGAGGGAACUAAAACGGGUGUUUUACUAAAUAUAUUAUUACCAGAUCAAACUGUACUGUAUUAAGUUAUUUUUUAUUUUUAAAAACAUAGUUGUAAAUGAAAAAAUUCUUUUAAGAUUAAAUACCAAAUGAAAACUGUAAAUGGUGUAUUAAUGUGUUAUUUUAUAUUUC